rnacentral:rRNA from 1 species
AGGGAAUAUUGGACAAUGGGGGAAACCCUGAUCCAGCAAUGCCGCGUGAGCGAUGAAGGCCUUAGGGUUGUAAAGCUCUUUUACCCGGGAUGAUAAUGACAGUACCGGGAGAAUAAGCCCCGGCUAACUCCGUGCCAGCAGCCGCGGUAAUACGGAGGGGGCUAGCGUUGUUCGGAAUUACUGGGCGUAAAGCGCACGUAGGCGGCGAUCUAAGUCAGAGGUGAAAGCCCGGGGCUCAACCCCGGAAUAGCCUUUGAGACUGGAUUGCUAGAAUCAUGGAGAGGUGAGUGGAAUUCCGAGUGUAGAGGUGAAAUUCGUAGAUAUUCGGAAGAACACCAGUGGCGAAGGCGGCUCACUGGACAUGUAUUGACGCUGAGGUGCGAAAGCGUGGGGAGCAAACAGGA